UACGUAGGGUGCAAGCGUUGUCCGGAAUUAUUGGGCGUAAAGAGCUCGUAGGCGGUCUGUCGCGUCGAAUGUGAAAACUCGGGGCUUAACCCCGGGCCUGCAGUGGGUACGGGCAGACUAGAGUGCGGUAGGGGAGACUGGAAUUCCUGGUGUAGCGGUGAAAUGCGCAGAUAUCAGGAGGAACACCGGUGGCGAAGGCGGGUCUCUGGGCCGUAACCGACGCUGAGGAGCGAAAGCGUGGGGAGCGAACAGG
rnacentral:rRNA from 1 species